GCUUGCUGGAAAGGAAGGUGGUCGAUUCUUCUGACCAACGGAGGCUGUGUUGACUUCUUGAUUCGGUGUAGCCUGACAUGUACAGUGCACCCCGUGCUGGGGCACUUGCCAUGGGGGCCUACAGUCUGCUGGCAAGGAAGAUAGUCGAUUUUCUAAGCAGUGAAGGCCGCACGGAGUCCUGGAUUUGGUGUGACCUGGCAUCCACAGUGCACCUCGUGCUGGCGGACAGCUCAAUACGGAGCAGUUGCUGUGGAAGGCCCUCAGCCUGCUGGCACGGAAGAUGGUCGAUUGUUCCAAGCAAUGAAGGCCCAACGGAGUCCUGGUUUUGGUGUGGCUUGGCCUCCAUGGUGCACCCCAUGCUGGUGGACAACUCCAUAUGGAGCAGUUGUUGUGACAGAUCCAUCGCUUGCUGGCAAGGAAGAUGGUCGAUUCUUCUGACCAACAGAGGCUGCUUUGAGUCCUUGAUUUGGCAUGGCCUGACAUCUGCCGUGCACCCCGUGCUGGCGGGUGGCUCAAGACGAAGCAGCUGCCAUGAGAGCCCUGCUGCUUGCUGGCAAGGAAGAUGGGCGAUUCUUCUGACCAACAGAGGCAGCGUUGGGUCCUUGAUUCAUUGUGUCCUGACGUCUGCAGUGCACCCCAUGCUGGUGGGUGGCUUAGGACGGUGGUGUUGGCAUAAAAGGCAGGCUCGUGUCAUGAGGAAUGAUUAUCAUCUUGUGCGAUCCUUGGAGAUGGCAGGAAGCCCCUGGCCACACAUGGUAUGGACUCCUUCAGGGGCUGUUGAAACUCUCCUGAAUGUGUUAUGGCCAUGGAAGGAAGGCCAGUGGCCAUGAGGGACAGUCUUCAUCUUGGGAGAUCCCUAGAGAUGGCAGGGAGCCCCUUGACAUGUGGAAUGUGGUCUCCUUUGGAUGCUGGUGGAUCCCUCAGGUACAAAGACUGUGCGUGGAUCAAUGAUGACUUUUAUACAUGCAUUCCUUGGAAAGCUGAACAAAAUGAGUGAAAACCCUAUACCGUCAUCCUCGUCAAGCUGAGGUCCAGCACAUUGCUCCAACAGCGGGUGAAUGCCUGCAUAAGCAAGUGAAGCACGCUCCGCCUGGCCUGACCUGUGCUCCACACCGUAUCUCCCACUUCUGUUGCCCCUUUGCCUUGCCAGGUGGAGCCUGACUGGCUUUUGCCACUGCUGCCACCACAGACCACCUGGAGCCCUAGCUAGUUUGAGGAAAGUGGCUCUGCCUGAUUUUCCUUUUUUUCUCUUUUUUUCUCCAUUCCUGACUCCAGCAGGUGGGAGUUGGAGUCGCUGCUUCUGCAGCCACAGAAGACUCCCCAGUUUGGAGGGCUGUGGCUGUGGGCUCCCUAGGUAUCUCUCUGCAGAACCCUUCCAUCUUCCAUUUUACCAACCCCAUCAAUAACUAACACAGUGGCGGAGGAGCUCAUGACUCUGUUUGUCAUUAACUCUUCUAACUUACACAGCUGUACUCAGCCACUGGUCAGAAUAAGAGAAAAAGCAAGGUCCCCCUCCUGGGACCAGGAGGACCCUACCAGAAAUUUUACAUUUUAUUUUUGUUUGUGCAUAUACCUUUUCU